rnacentral:hammerhead_ribozyme from 1 species
AUCCAGUUGAGGCGAGUCCCAAAUAGGACGAACUGCGCAUCCUGGAU